GGCCGACUAGCUCAGUUGGUUAGAGCGUGGUGCUAAUAUCUUCGGGUUUGAACCGUAGUAUUUGAUAACGCCAAGGUCGUCGGUUCGACCCCGGCGUUGGCCA
rnacentral:tRNA from 1 species